GGCAUGCAAAAGCCUUUAAAGAUGGGCCUUGAUGUCGUUAAAUGACGACUCGGGCUGCUUUCGGCUGCGAGGUUUUGCAUUCCACGACCAGCCGCUUCCUACGCUCCGAUGCCUGGAGACUCGAUGGAGGUUAAGUGCCUCGGUCAAGGGGCUCUGAGGGCCACACUGCUUCCACUGGGGAUUUGCUGCAGGGGCCCUUCGACUCUCCGACCAGAGAACACGGAAGGGAAGCAUUUUGCAGCAUCAUGCUGAUGAAAAGCACACGGAAGUCAUGCAGCAGCCACAACAGCAGACGGGAGUGGAAGAAGCAGAACGAGGGAGCAAUUUACUAUUUUACUACUAUUACUAUUUUAUGAGCUAUUACAACAACUAAUGGGUAUUAGACAUUUAUUUAAUGAUAAAUAAGCCAAAAUGAUAAAAAACUUGUCUUUAACGCUACUUUAUAUUUUGACUGUCACAUUUCAGAGCUUUAGUCCCUUG
ensembl:lncRNA